rnacentral:rRNA from 1 species
CCUACGGGAGGCAGCAGGCGCGCAAAUUACCCAAUCCUAAUUCAGGGAGGUAGUGACAAUAAAUAACGAUACAGGGCCCAUUCGGGUCUUGUAAUUGGAAUGAGUACAAUGUAAAUACCUUAACGAGGAACAAUUGGAGGGCAAGUCUGGUGCCAGCAGCCGCGGUAAU